CCUACGGGGGGCAGCAGUGGGGAAUAUUGCACAAUGGGCGCAAGCCUGAUGCAGCCAUGCCGCGUGUGUGAAGAAGGCCUUCGGGUUGUAAAGCACUUUCAGCGGGGAGGAAGGCGUUAAGGUUAAUAACCUUGUCGAUUGACGUUACCCGCAGAAGAAGCACCGGCUAACUCCGUGCCAGCAGCCGCGGUAAUACGGAGGGUGCAAGCGUUAAUCGGAAUUACUGGGCGUAAAGCGCACGCAGGCGGUCUGUCAAGUCGGAUGUGAAAUCCCCGGGCUCAACCUGGGAACUGCAUUCGAAACGGGCAGGCUAGAGUCUGGUAGAGGGGGGGAGAAUUCCAGGUGUAGCGGGGAAAGGCGUAGAGAUCUGGAGGAAUAACGGUGGCGAAGGCGGCCCCCUGGACAAAGACUGAUGCGCAGGUGCGAAAGCGUGGUGAGCAAACAGGAUGAGAUACCCUGGUAGGC
rnacentral:rRNA from 1 species